rnacentral:misc_RNA from 1 species
CUUCAGAUCAAAAGCUAAUGCGAUAUAUGUAAUGUGCGUGUUUAUAUUAUAAAAUUGUGUUAAAGUGCAUCACGUUUAUUUAAUUAUUACGUGAAAGAACUUCGAUUUACAGCGCAUUUUUAUUUUACUAUGUGUCAUUGCGCAUGUUUUUGAGAGUAUUUGGGAGAAAUAGAGUACGAUUGGACGCAGAAGCAAUUGCAGCAUUUUUAUCAGAGAGAAAUUAUGUUGAUGAGUUUAUUGAUGUGGAGAAAUAUAUAAUCUUAUUAGAAAAAAUCUAAGCUGCACAUUUAAAUUGACAAACAAUUAAUAUUAUGGCUCUCCAGCAUUCAGUGAAUACUGGUGAUGGCAAUUUGGAUAACAAGAUUAUUGAGUGGUUGCAAUGGAACAAGGAUCCAAAAGAAGAAAAGGAAAUACUUGAAUAUUUAAAUAAUGAACAAAUUAAAAUAUUGUCAAAGUUGUUUCUCAAGAGACUCGAAUUUGGAACUGCAGGUCUCAGAGGUUGUAUGGGACCAGGUUAUAGUCAAAUGAAUGAUCUGGUGAUCAUACAAACUGGUCAAGGAUUAACAAGAUACUUGAUGGACACAAUAUUAGAUGUUGCACAGAAAGGUGUUGUAAUAGGCUAUGAUGGUCGCUAUAACAGCAAAAGAUUUGCAGAAUUGACUGCAGCAAUUUUCAUAGCCAAUGAUAUUAAAGUGUAUUUAUUUUCCGAAAUAUGCCCCACACCAUUUAUACCUUAUACUAUAUUAAGGUACAAGUGUGCGGCUGGAAUUAUGGUCACCGCCUCUCACAAUCCAAAAGAUGACAACGGAUACAAAGUCUAUUGGCAAAAUGGAGCACAAAUUAUUACACCGCAUGAUAAAAAGAUUCAAAAUUACAUUCUUAACAAUCUUGAACCACUUGAAUCAUCGUGGGAUGUUAACAAAAUCUAUCAAAGUCUUUACUACAAAGAUCCGAAAGACGAAAUUAUGCAACAUUAUUACAAAGACUUGAAAGAUAAAGUUUUAUAUCCUCAAGUUAAUAGAAACACCACGUUAAAAUUCACUUACACUGCUAUGCAUGGCGUUGGAUAUGAAUAUAUGACUGCUGCAUUUGAAGCGGCGAACUUUAAGCCGUUUAUAAGUGUGGAGGAGCAAAAAUUGCCAGAUCCAGAGUUUCCUACAGUAAAGUUUCCAAAUCCGGAGGAAGGAAAGAGCGCCCUUGAUCUUAGCAUAAAACAAGCGAAUAAAAGUGAUUCUUAUAUAAUAUUAGCCAAUGAUCCUGAUGCUGAUAGACUUGCGUGCGCGACAAAGUCAAAAAGCGGGGAAUGGCAUGUCUUCUCCGGAAAUGAACUUGGUGCAUUAUUGGGUUGGUGGAUGUUACACACUUAUCAAGUGUUACAACCUGAUGCUGAUAUGAGUAACGCAUACAUGUUAGCAUCCACCGUUUCCAGUAAAAUUCUAGCAUCAAUGGCUAAGAAAGAAGGCUUCAAUUUUGAGGAAACUUUAACAGGUUUUAAAUGGAUGGGCAAUAGAGCUAUAGAGUUAAUAAAGGAAAAAAAGGAUGUCCUGUUCGCAUAUGAAGAAGCUAUAGGUUUUAUGUGCGGUUCUAAAGUUUUAGAUAAGGAUGGUAUUAGUGCUGGUAUACGUGUAGCUGAAUUAGCAGCUUAUCUGGAAACAAUUGGAUUAACGUUAUCAGAUAAAUUGAAAGAGAUAUAUCAAGAAUAUGGUCAUCAUAUCAGUGAUAAUUCCUAUUGGAUAUGUCAUGACUCAGACACUAUCAAGGCGAUAUUUGAGCGAUUGAGAAAUUAUUCUGAUAAACCAAAUACAGUCGUCAAGUAUAUGCGUUGCAUGAGGUAGCACAAACCGGCUAACCACUCUGAAAGUGUAAUAACGCUGAACGCCGACGUAUUUGUGCGCGUAUCAUUCUAGGUGACAGUUGUGUGUUUUAUGUGCUCUUUUAUAAUAUAAUACGAAACACGAUGUAAAUAUAAAAGUGCCACAUACACAAUGUUCGUACAACUAAAAAACAUUAAAACGUAAAAAUUUACAACAGUGUUUCUUAUUAUAGAAAACGUUUUCCGCUUGGAAACGUCGUUUUUACGUUUUCACAUUUUUAUUUUUUGCACAUGGUCACUUUCACGCUUGAUUAUUGAAUUGUUGUGCACAAAUAAAUUGUUACACUGCAAUAAUGUGUAGCAUAUAAUAAUUUUCAAUCAAAAUUAUUUUUUUUUAAUUACGCAAUUUUGUUUAUUUUUGGUUUUUCUUUUUAUCUCGCUUGUUGACAUAAGAUGGCAAAAAAUAACAUUUGCAACAAAUAUGUAAAUAUGGCUAUCACAUCUUUAACACUCUUGCCAUCUAUGCUACUUGCCGUAAUGGUUAUUCCAAUUGUACAGUCAUUGUAUCAUCUUACGCCAUUUUUUACAGACGAAGGCCAAAUAAAUGCAUUUACCCAACCGGAAUUCGAAAUGGGAAAUAUACAAUAGCUGGCAUAAGAGACUUAACAACCGGAUAUGACAAUACAAAACCCGACAAUAAAGC